AGCUUGCUCCGAUCGGAUUAGUGGCGGACGGGUGAGUAACGCGUGAGUAACCUGCCUGCGAGAGGGGGAUAACAACGGGAAACUGUUGCUAAUACCGCAUAACGCAUCGAUUCCGCAUGGAGAUGAUGCCAAAGGGAAACCGCUUGCAGAUGGACUCGCGUCUGAUUAGGUAGUUGGUGAGGUAACGGCUCACCAAGCCGACGAUCAGUAGCCGGACUGAGAGGUUGAACGGCCACAUUGGAACUGAGAUACGGUCCAGACUCC
rnacentral:rRNA from 1 species